CAGUCGCCGCGGGAAUACGUAGGGUGCGAGCGUUAAUCGGAAUUACUGGGCGUAAAGCGUGCGCAGGCGGUUGUGUAAGACAGGUGUGAAAUCCCCGGGCUUAACCUGGGAACUGCGCUUGUGACUGCACAGCUAGAGUAUGGCAGAGGGUGGUGGAAUUCCACGUGUAGCAGUGAAAUGCGUAGAGAUGUGGAGGAACACCGAUGGCGAAGGCAGCCCCCUGGGCCAAUACUGACGCUCAUGCACGAAAGCGUGGGGAGCAAACAGGAUUAGAUACCCGCGUAGUCCCUGUCUCUUAUAC
rnacentral:rRNA from 1 species